rnacentral:rRNA from 1 species
AGCGAACGCUGGCGGCAGGCCUAACACAUGCAAGUCGAACGACAUAGUGGCAGACGGGUGAGUAACGCGUGGGAACGUGCCUUUCACUACGGAAUAGCUUCUGGAAACGGAAGGUAAUACCGUAUACGCCCUUCGGGGGAAAGAUUUAUCGGUGAAAGAUCGGCCCGCGUUAGAUUAGUUUGUUGGUGGGGUAAUGGCCUACCAAGACUACGAUCUAUAGCUGGUCUGAGAGGAUGAUCAGCCACACUGGGACUGAGACACGGCCCAGACUCCUACGGGAGGCAGCAGUGGGGAAUCUUGCACAAUGGGCGAAAGCCUGAUGCAGCCAUGCCGCGUGAAUGAUGAAGGCCUUAGGGUUGUAAAAUUCUUUCGCCAGGGAUGAUAAUGACAGUACCUGGUAAAGAAGCCCCGGCUAACUUCGUGCCAGCAGCCGCGGUAAUACGAAGGGGGCUAGCGUUGUUCGGAAUUACUGGGCGUAAAGCGCGCGUAGGCGGGCUGUUAAGCCAGAUGUGAAAGCCCAGAGCUCAACUCUGGAAUUGCAUUUGGAACUGGCAGCCUAGAGACCAGGAGAGGUUAGCGGAAUACCGAGUGUAGAGGUAAAAUUCGUA